ACAAGCGGUGGAGCAUGUGGUUUAAUUCGAUGCAACGCGAAGAACCUUACCUGGUCUUGACAUCCACAGAACUUAGCAGAGAUGCUUUGGUGCCUUCGGGAACUGUGAGACAGGUGCUGCAUGGCUGUCGUCAGCUCGUGUUGUGAAAUGUUGGGUUAAGUCCCGCAACGAGCGCAACCCUUAUCCUUUGUUGCCAGCGGUCCGGCCGGGAACUCAAAGGAGACUGCCAGUGAUAAACUGGAGGAAGGUGGGGAUGACGUCAAGUCAUCAUGGCCCUUACGACCAGGGCUACACACGUGCUACAAUGGCAUAUACAAAGAGAAGCGACCUCGCGAGAGCAAGCGGACCUCAUAAAGUAUGUCGUAGUCCGG
rnacentral:rRNA from 1 species